CACACACACACACACACACACACACACACAGAGUGCCUUUGCAGUCUGCUCUUGUUGUGAUAACGCGGUGACUCGGCCUGUACUGACGUCAGUGUGUGCGUCUUCUCUUGCACGCUGUGCAUUCUCUCUUCCCCGCUCGUGUUCCAGGAAACGCUGUGACGUCAAACUGGCAACUAUCUCUCUCCACUCCCUCCACCACACCCGCCCCUUUACUUCCCCCUCCCUCCCCCUCUGCCUGCCUGCCUGUCCGUCCGUCUGCCUGACAACCACUUUAGCAGUUUAGUGAGUUGUGUUUGCAAAGCAGCAGAAGACAGUCAGGCAGGAGCAGCACUGCUUGUACUAAACCAAAGGCUUGUUGACUUGCAAGGAGGGACGCCUGGAGAGAAUCUCCCGUCUCUUCUGCGUGUCUGCAACAGGCUGUUCCCCCUCCAAUUUUAUCUCAGGAGUGAUCUGCAGAAGAAUGUGCACUUUGCCAUUGGGAGCUGGGUCAUCUAGACCACCACGUG